rnacentral:rRNA from 1 species
UACGUAGGUGGCAAGCGUUGUCCGGAUUUACUGGGCGUAAAGGGCGUGCAGGCGGUUUUUUAAGUCUAGGGUGAAAGCUCCCGGCUCAACUGGGAGAGGUCCUUGGAUACUGGAGAACUUGAGGGAUGCAGAGGAAAGUGGAAUUCCCGGUGUAGUGGUGAUAUGCGUAGAUAUCGGGAGGAACACCAGUGGCGAAGGCGGCUUUCUGGGCAUUUCCUGACGCUGAGACGCGAAAGCGUGGGGAGCGAACCGG